GGGGAAUAUUGGGCAAUGGGGGCAACCCUGACCCAGCAACGCCGCGUGAAGGAAGAAGGCUUUCGGGCUGUAAACUUCUUUUACCAGGGACGAAGAACGUGACGGUACCUGGAGAAAAAGCUCCGGCUAACUACGUGCCAGCAGCCGCGGUAAUACGUAGGGAGCAAGCGUUGUCCGGAUUUACUGGGUGUAAAGGGCGUGUAGGCGGAGAUGCAAGUCAGAUGUGAAAUCUGGGGGCUCAACCCCCAAACUGCAUUUGAAACUGUAUCCCUUGAGUAUCGGAGAGGCAGGCGGAAUUCCUAGUGUAGCGGUGAAAUGCGUAGAUAUUAGGAGGAACACCAGUGGCGAAGGCGGCCUGCUGGACGACAACUGACGCUGAGGCGCGAAAGCGUGGGGAGCAAACAGGAUUAGAUACCCUGGUAGUCCACGCUGUAAACGAUGAAUACUAGGUGUGGGGGGACUGACCCCUUCCGUGCCGCAGUUAACACAAUAAGUAUUCCACCUGGGGAGUACGACCGCAAGGUUGAAACUCAAAGGAAUUGACGGGGGCCCGCACAAGCAGUGGAUUAUGUGGUUUAAUUCGACGCAACGCGAAGAACCUUACCGGGAUUUGACAUCCUACUAACGAAGCAGAGAUGCAUUAGGUGCCCUUCGGGGAAAGUAGAGACAGGUGGUGCAUGGUUGUCGUCAGCUCGUGUCGUGAGAUGUUGGGUUAAGUCCCGCAACGAGCGCAACCCCUAUUGUUAGUUGCUACGCAAGAGCACUCUAGCGAGACUGCCGUUGACAAAACGGAGGAAGGCGGGGACGACGUCAAAUCAUCAUGCCCCUUAUGACCUGGGCUACACACGUACUACAAUGGAUGUUAACAGAGGGAAGCAAGACAGCGAUGUGGAGCAAACCCCUAAAAACAUUCUCAGUUCAGAUUGCAGGCUGCAACCCGCCUGCAUGAAGAUGGAAUUGCUAGUAAUCGCGGAUCAGCAUGCCGCGGUGAAUACGUUCCCG
rnacentral:rRNA from 1 species